GAUAAGCCAUGCAUGUCUAAGCACAAGCCGCACAAUGGCAAAGCCGCGAAUGGCUCAUUACAACAGCUAUCGUUUAUUAGAUCUAUCCAUUACUUGGAUAACUGUGGUAAUUCUAGAGCUAAUACAUGCCAUAAGCUCCGACCUCACGGGAGGAGAGCGUUUAUUAGAACAAAACCAAUCGGGCUUCGGCCCGUCAUUUGGUGAAUCUGAAUAACUUUGCAGAUCGCAUGGUCCUCGCACCGGCGACGCAUCUUUCAAAUGUCUGCCUUAUCAACUUUCGAUGGUAGUUUAUGCGCCUACCAUGGUUGUAACGGGUAACGGAGAAUCAGGGUUCGAUUCCGGAGAGGGAGCCUGAGAAACGGCUACCACAUCCAAGGAAGGCAGCAGGCACGCAAAUUACCCACUCCCGGCACGGGGAGGUAGUGACGAAAAAUAACGAGACGGGUCUCUAUGAGGCCCGUCAUCGGAAUGGGUACAAUUUAAAUCCUUUAACGAGGAUCUAUUGGAGGGCAAGUCUGGUGCCAGCAGCCGCGGUAAUUCCAGCUCCAAUAGCGUAUAUUAAAGUUGUUGCGGUUAAAAAGCUCGUAGUUGGAUGUGCGGUCAAGGAAUGCGGUCCCCCAAUGGGCGGAUACUGCUUUUCCUGGCCUAAUUGGUCCGGUUUUCCCUUGGUGCUCUUCACCGGGUGUCUUGGGUGGCUGGAAGGUUUACUUUGAAAAAAUUAGAGUGCUCAAAGCAGGCUACUGAGCCUGAAUAGUGGUGCAUGGAAUAAUGGAAUAGGACCUCGGUUCUAUUUUGUUGGUUUUCGGAGCUCGAGGUAAUGAUUAAGAGGGACAGACGGGGGCAUUCGUAUUGCGGCGUUAGAGGUGAAAUUGCUUGGAUCGCCGCAAGACGAACUACUGCGAAAGCA
rnacentral:rRNA from 1 species